GUACUUGCUUCAGCAGGACAUAUACUAAAAUUGGAAUGGUACAGAGAAGUUAACUUGACCCCUGCACAAUGAUGAUAUUUAAAUUUAUGAAGCAUUCCAUAAAAAA